rnacentral:tRNA from 1 species
UGGCUGUGGCUCAGAGGUACAGCGCUUGCCUAGCAUGCGUGAGGCACAGGGUUCGAUCCCCUGAACCACCUAA